rnacentral:rRNA from 1 species
UCUUUAUUUUAAAAAUUUUUAUUACUUGAGUAGUGUGAACAGGUAAUUUAUAGAAAAUGGUGUAAUAUUAUUAGAAUGUUUGAAACUUAAAAGGCUUGGCGGUGUCAUAUAUCCUUCCAGGGGAGUUUGUUUAUUAAUUUGAUAAUCCCCAAUUUAUACUUACUUUUUUUUGAAUAAAUAAAUAAAAUCAGUUUGUAUAUUGCUGUCAUCAGUUUAUUUUGUAAAAAUUUUAUAAGAAACUUAAUAAUGAAUUGAUUAUGAUGUCAAGUCAAAAUGCAGCUAAUAAAAAAGGUUUAUAAAAUGAGCUACAAUUUAUAAUUUUUAAGUCGGAUUAGGUUGUGUAAAUUAAUUUAUGAAGUUGGACUUGGUAGUAAUAUUAUAAAUAGUAUGUUUUUAUGAAUUAGGUUUUAUGACGCGU